rnacentral:rRNA from 1 species
AGUGAACGCUGGCGGCGUGCUUAACACAUGCAAGUCGAACGGAAAGGCCCCAGCUUGCUGGGGUACUCGAGUGGCGAACGGGUGAGUAACACGUGGGUGAUCUGCCCUGCACUUUGGGAUAAGCUUGGGAAACUGGGUCUAAUACCGAAUAUGACCACUUCUUGGAUGUUGUGGUGGAAAGCUUUUGCGGUGUGGGAUGAGCCUGCGGCCUAUCAGCUUGUUGGUGGGGUAAUGGCCUACCAAGGCGGCGACGGGUAUCCGGCCUGAGAGGGUGUACGGACACAUUGGGACUGAGAUACGGCCCAGACUCCUACGGGAGGCAGCAGUGGGGAAUAUUGCACAAUGGGCGCAAGCCUGAUGCAGCGACGCCGCGUGGGGGAUGAAGGCCUUCGGGUUGUAAACUCCUUUCGCUAUCGACGAAGCCACUUGUGGUGACGGUAGGUAGAUAAGAAGCACCGGCUAACUACGUGCCAGCAGCCGCGGUAA